rnacentral:rRNA from 1 species
UUCUGGCAUCGAUGAAGAACGCAGCGAAAUGCGAUAAGUAAUGUGAAUUGCAGAAUUCAGUGAAUCAUCGAAUCUUUGAACGCACAUUGCGCCCCUUGGUAUUCCGAGGGGCAUGCCUGUUCGAGCGUCAUUUCACCACUCAAG